rnacentral:rRNA from 1 species
CAGUAGCCACGGGAAUACGUAGGUGGCAAGCGUUGUCCGGAAUUAUUGGGCGUAAAGGGCUCGCAGGCGGUUUCUUAAGUCUGAUGUGAAAGCCCCCGGCUCAACCGGGGAGGGUCAUUGGAAACUGGGAAACUUGAGUGCAGAAGAGGAGAGUGGAAUUCCACGUGUAGCGGUGAAAUGCGUAGAGGUGUGGAGGAACACCAGUGGCGAAGGCGACUCUCUGGUCUGUAACUGACGCUGAGGAGCGAAAGCGUGGGGAGCGAACAGGAUUAGAUACCCCGGUAGUCCUUGUCUCUUAUAC